rnacentral:rRNA from 1 species
GGGUCAGUAGGUUGGUCGUGCCACCGGUACGUACUGGUCUCACUGAUUCCUCCUUCCUGAAGAACCGUAAUGCCAUUAAUUUGGUGUUGCGGGGAAACAGGACUGUUGCUUUGGAAAAAUUAGAGUGUUUAAAGCAAGCUAACGCUUGAAUACAUUAGCAUGGAAUAAUGAAAUAGGACGAUCGAUCCUAUUUUGUUGGUUUCUAGGAUUGACGUA